UACAGAGGCCUCGAGCGUUAGGCGGAAUCACUGGGCUUAAAGCGUGUGUAGGCGGACUUCUAAGUGCCUUGUGAAAUCCCACGGCUCACCCGUGGAACUGCUGGGCAUACUGGGAGUCCUGAGCCACCUAGGGGCGAGCGGAACAAAUGGUGGAGCGGUGAAAUGCGUAGAUAUCAUUUGGAACGCCAACGGAGAAAUCAGCUCGCUGGGGGUGUGCUGACGCUGAGACACGAAAGCCAGGGGAGCGAACGGG
rnacentral:rRNA from 1 species